UACGUAGGGUGCGAGCGUUGUCCGGAAUUAUUGGGCGUAAAGGGCUCGUAGGCGGUUUGUCGCGUCGGGAGUGAAAACCCAGGGUUUAACUCUGGGCUUGCUUUCGAUACGGGCAGACUAGAGGUAUGCAGGGGAGAACGGAAUUCCUGGUGUAGCGGUGAAAUGCGCAGAUAUCAGGAGGAAUACCGAUGGAGCGAAGGCAGGUCUCUGGGCUGGACACUGGACGCUCAUGCACGGAAAGCGUGGGGA
rnacentral:rRNA from 1 species